rnacentral:lncRNA from 1 species
AGGACAUGGGCCUUAUUAUCUGUAACCCCAGUGUCAAAGUAUUUCUGUGUGUGUCUUGGGCAGAGGCAGGGAAACCUCCAGAGAAAACAUGGGCAAAGGUUUCUGUUUUGUCAUGUGAAAAAAAUCUGAUGAAUACCACAGAGUACUGCCUGACAGACCUGCAUGAGGAGAAACAUGCCAAGUUCUUCAGCUAUUGCCCAUAAGAGUUUGACUCCCAGCCCAUGCAUAACAAGCCUAUAAUGAGAGUGUUAAUGACAGUGAUUCAAAGCACUGCUGCCUUUUCCCUCAUUCCACUUAUCUGUGAAGCUCCUGUUGACACAAAUAAACCAUCCUUAAUGUUCCUGAUAGCA